GGAAAUUCAGAGUCGGCCAUGCAAGUCGACGAUGAAGCCGGGUGCUUGCACCGGGUGGAUUAGUGGCGAACGGGUGAGUAUCACGUGAGUAACCUGCCCUUGACUCUGGGAUAAGCCUGGGAAACUGGGUCUAAUACCGGAUAUGACCAGUCCUCGCAUGGGGUGCUGGUGGAAAGAUUUUAUCGGUCUUGGAUGGACUCGCGGCCUAUCAGUUUGUUGGUGAGGUAAUGGCUCACCAAGGCGAUGACGGGUAGCCGGCCUGAGAGGGUGACCGGCCACACUGGGACUGAGACACGGCCCAGACUCCUACGGGAGGCAGCAGUGGGGAAUAUUGCACAAUGGGCGCAAGCCUGAUGCAGCGACGCCGCGUGCGGGAUGACGGCCUUCGGGUUGUAAACCGCUUUCAGCAGGGAAGAAGCUUUUUGUGACGGUACCUGCAGAAGAAGCGCCGGCUAACUACGUGCCAGCAGCCGCGGUAAUACGUAGGGCGCGAGCGUUAUCCGGAAUUAUUGGGCGUAAAGGGCUCGCAGGCGGUUUGCCACGUCUGCUGUGAAAGCCCGGGGCUUAACUCCGGGUGUGCAGUGGGUACGGGUAGACUACUAGUGCAGUAGGGGGAGACUGGAAUUCCUGGUGUAGCGGUGAAAUGCGCAGAUUCACGAAGAAAAACCAAAUGGUGAAAGCGGGUCCCCUGGCUUGUUGCUGACGGUUAUCGAGCGAGAG
rnacentral:rRNA from 1 species